UUUUUUUUUUUUUUGGAGGGUUUUUUUAGUGGGUUUUUCUUUUUGUGUUUUUGGUUUGUUUUUUUUUUUUUGGUUGGUUGGUUGGUUGGUUUUUUGGGGGUAUUUUUGGCGGGGAUUGGUGAGGGAAGAAAUAUCUGGCUUCUGUGGAAUUUGUCAAAACAGAAAUAGAAUGAUAAAGCUACCUCCUGUUUUCUGUAGUCAGGAGAGCUGCCAAAAUGAGCUGACACGAGUACAGCACUGUCUUCUCCCUACAUAUGUCUUGGGUCACGAGGCAUAGCAGCAUUUGAGCUUCAGAAUGGUGCUUGAAGAGCAUGCUUGAUGGGGACAUGAGCAUGUAAGUAGGAUGACUUAAUUUUAGUGCAUAUGCAUGCGUAUCUUUUCUCCCUUGUGAGCAGUUUUUCAUUAAAGGAAAUGAUUAGGUUCUUAUUAUUUAUACAUUGUUUUCCAUUGCUUAGGGAAAUUUUUCUGUAAUCUGCCUCACACUCUGAAGGAUUGUAAAAUAACUUUCUGUCCAUUAAGUAAUUGGCUUAAUGCAAGAAAUAGAGAAUGAAAUAAAUCAUGUGUGCAGGAGGCUCUCUGUUGACUUUUAUUCUCUUUAAAUUUAGACAACAAUCUCUUCUGGCCUCAUUGUUGUUUAAAAGCUUCUGAAGAUUUUUGGCUGGAAAACAAAAGAAAAACAGGAACAGGAAAAAAAAAAGAGCUAUGCAGUAUGUUUUAAGCUAAUGGAGCACCCCAGGGAUCUUGUUCUACAGGGACUCUCCAUAAAGGCAGCAGCAGGGAUGGGGAGAACCUCUGUCCAUCUCCCCAUAUCCAGUUGAGUUUACAUGAUAGAUGGCUUGAUGAUAAGCUAAAGAAGGAUGCUUCUAACCAAUUAUGUAUUAAUUCUGCAUAUGACCAUAAGGACUCAGAUUUAUUCCAAAGUAAAUGGAUGACUGUAGAUUUUUUUUUCAAAAUUCAUAGCAGACACAAUCUUACCAGUUUAUUCAUGUCAAGUAUCACCUAACUUCUGCAAACCAGUGGAAUUUUGUGUUAAGUGAGAUAACAGUCCAAAGAUUGAAAAAUGGGAAACUAGCUCUUACUGAAAGAGGCAUUUCUGCCAUCACCCGAUCCUAAUGUAUCACCCCUACUGUCCAGUGUAACUGAAUGUUGAGAAAAUCCUACAUAGGCGAGGUGCUAUGCCACAGACAGCUCAUACCUUCAUGCAACUGUCUAGCUUCCACAUAACUCAGCAUCUGCCUGGUGAUGAUAUGAGUUCGAGUCAUCAACAAUCACUUCCAUGAACACAUAUUCAGUUUUUUCAAUCAAUGCAUUACAUCCGAAUUGUAUUAGGACCAUUGCUGCAAUGACAUUUCUUGCAGUAUUAUACCACAGUAUGUUCAAUCUGGAUGCUAUACUUGAAGGUUAUUCUAUAUUAUAGUUAUUAAAAUGCCUAUACUACAGAUAAAAAGACAUGAAAAUAUUGGCUCAUGAACACAGGGAUAGCUCUUGAGUGUGCAAAAUACAGAGUGCAAUGUGUUGGAUUUUUAGGUGUUCUAAAAUAAAACAGGAAAACAGGAUGUAUUGACAAUAAAAGUGAUUUGGGGUUUUUCCAAUGGAAUAUUUUUAUCUGAAAAUGCAGAUUUAUUUGGUUUAAGGAACAUGCCGUUUCAAUGAUAAUUUCAUCAAAUACUCAGAUACGCUUAUUUAGAUUUAAAAUGAAUAUGAUGUUAAGAAACAGCAACAGAGAUAGUAAUUUAGCCUUAGGAGCUUGCUUUCCAUAAAAUGUCACUAGAAAUGGACUUUUAAAAAGGGUAAGUCAGAGGAACACCUCAGCACAUGUGCUUUAAAGACCUCAGCAUGUUUUUCCCAAGUACACAAUAAUCAAUAAACUGGAGAAAAAGGCAAAGAUGGAAUCAUAAUCAGAAGCUUCCAGUCAUCCUGUGCAACAGGCAAGUAUCCUAACCCCACUUACAGGCUUGGUUCCAUUCUGUUAGCUAGUUAGCUAUUCAAAUUAUUUUACUGGAUUAAAUUGGUAGACAACCAUUUCCAGAACAGUUCAAAAGGUUACAGUUAAGUCAGUUAUUUGUGAAAUGAAAGGUUAAAGAUCGAUACUUUAGUUUCAACAAGGAAAAGCAGUGUGACAUCAGUAAUUUUGGCUGCUUGUUCGAGUCUUUCACUGUCUGAAACCCUUUUUGUUUUUUGCUCAAUAGGAAAAUAUUGAAAUUUGUAAAAAGUCCCUUUUUGUUCCCUUUCUCACUUCUCUUCCCUACCCUUAGUUUUCAUUAAGAAAAGACACCUUAACAUUUCUAUGUAGGGAUAGAGCAGAUUUAUGAAAGUUUUGGGGUUUUUUAUCUUGAUAAGUGCAAGUACAAUGCAUGUCUCUGUAUUUAUGUGUGUGUGUGUGUGUGUAUCUGUAGAAGUGAAGCAUGUAGGAACUGAAAAGAUUAUUUUAAUGAACAGUUUUUCACAUUUACCAUUCCUCACAAAACAACCAGACAAUGAAAUAACAUGGAAAGAGAGUGGACUGAAUAAAGCAUUGUGCUCAAUAACAAAAAGUUUAGAGUAAGAAUAGUUACAGGAGAAAGUCACGUCAAAGAAUAUAAGAGACACAAUAGGUAAAAUAGUGAAUUGUACUGAUAAGAAAAAAUGAAAUGUUAUUUUUCUUGUAAUAAGCAGGAAGCGAGACUGAGACCAAAAUCUUGCAUGUAUUAAGACUCUGGAAUAGAACUUUCCAGCUUCUGGAAAAGCUCUCAGACUAAUGGUAAGUGGUAGACUAAUUCUACCAUAUACAAGUCUAAUUAAAUUCUGGAAUCCAUAAAAUACUAGAAAGUUAAAACCAGUAGCAAAUUAGAGCCUGGAAAGUCUUUCAGAAGGGAUCUGUGUGCUUUACAAGAAUAAUAAUAAUUUAAAAAAAAAUGUUUCACAGUGUGGAAAUCUUUGAUCUCUGGAUACAAUGAGUGCAAGACACUGCCAGUGGACCAUCUAGUCACUAAGAAACACCGCACAAUUGUAGUCACAGUGUCUGACUAGCUGUGGGCACUACAAAAUUAUCUGUGAAAUGCUGAGAGACUCUUUAAAAGAUCUUUUCAGACAAAAAUUAUUUCAAUUCCUUAGAUGAAAAUUGGUUAAUAUGCAGAAAGUUAGUGUCCUGUUCAAAUUAAUUCUUUUUUUUGCCAAAGUAACUGUGGAUGUUCUCAUUACUCAGAUGAAAUGUCAUCUCUUUUUCAAAAGCUCUUAAACUCUCACGUGCACUGAUAUUUCAUGACAGGCAAUUUCACAGGUUAAUUGCAAAUGGUGCAAAAUUGUAUUGCUUUUCUAGUUCAUCAGAACUUUUUUGUUCUUGUAUUGUUAGAGGAUGAAUAGAAGCUUCUUAUUGACCUUCUGAACAACACUUUUUGCUUUAGCUGAAUCAAAUAUAUUUUGUCUGAUUUGUUUAUUUGGGAAGUUUUUUACUGGUUUUAUUUGAUUUUUUAAAAUUAAGCAGAUCAAAUCAUCCUGAUUUUUUCAGUCACUUAGAAACUGUGUGUAGUCUGUAACCAUUUUCAUCUCCUAUCUUUGAAUACUAUUUCUUUCUUCUAGAAACAUAACCCAAUGACCAAGAUUCUGGUACUGUUAAACCCAACAUAAGUUCUUGACAUUUUUAAGGACAGCUUUUUGCCAGUGGUACGAGUAAGGAAACACUAUUGCUGUUAAAGCAUCUUCUAGUACUUACUUUUGUCUCACUUCUUAGGCCUAUAUUCCUUUGCAAGUGUAAGGUGUAAUUGUCAUUAAGCUUCACCAUCUCCUUCAGGAUAUUUUUGAACCCAUCAGUGAGUACAAAUAAGAGGGAGAGCGAUAAAAGCUGUGUGGUGUUUGGCUGCCUACAGGGUUAAUCCACAGCAGAAAGCAUUUCAGAAAACCCUAUGAUCAUCAGACUUGUAAACAAUAAGUUACAGGUAUAAAAGGUGGGUGCACUGCCUAUCACUUGUCAUGCAGGGUUGCUUCUUGUUUAUGAGAUUUUUAGAACCUUCGAGGCAUUAGGCAAUCUUCAGAAUAACCUGAUCAAAUAAAUGCUGGUUUUGUUUUACAGAAGUAAAAGAGACAGACAUGUUACAGCAAAGAUUUUCAAGGGUGAGCCAAAACAUCAAUUAUUACUGCAUCUGAGUGUUAACUCUCUCUGAAAUCUACUUUCUUUAAAGGAUGGAGCUUAAGAUCUGUCCUCAAAGCCUAAGCCAUCCAAUAUUCACUAAUAACUGGAAAUUUGGGGCAAUUGGCUGGCAGACCUCUCACAGGAGUUCUGAUCUGCUUGUCCUUGGUUGCAUGAUACUGCAUGUUAUCACAGUGGUGUGGCUGCAUUUUAUCAAAAGAUUUCCCCAUUUCACGUGGCUCUUCAGGGAGCUCUUGGCUCACUCCGAAAGCAGUGGGUGUUACCUGGCUAGCCCGGAACACUUCCUUCAUCUUCCCACCCACAGCUCCUCCCACUCUUCUUUUUUUUCCCCCCCUCUCUUUUUGUCUUUCCUUCUCCUUAGUCUUACUCAAUCAAGAUAAGCAGGUCAUCAAAGUACAUGCAACAACAGCGGCAUGUGUAGCUAUUUAGGUAAGUAUUUAAAAAGCAGGGUCAUCCCAUGGGUGCCUUCUGUCUGUUUGUAUGAGCAAAAUGUAAGAGUAUUUUAAAUAGCAUAAUGUAUAAUUUCAUAUGAAAGCUAAUAGCCAAAACUGUACUUAUUUUUUUCACAGGACAACCAGGUUGCUCAAUACCACCAAGUUGUCAAUUGUACUUUAAAGAAAAAACUGUAUAAGACUCUCAGAUAUUUCAGAAAAUUUCCUCUGAAAUCAAUAAAUGGUUCCUGAAAAGCAAAGGCAGCACAUUGCCCUCGGGGUAAAUCUUCACCUGAUAACAAUGGUCCCAUUAUCACUAGGUGCAGCUCUGCUCAAGAGUGAAGGGGUAGCUCCUAUAUCAGUGAGACAAAUUAUACAUAUUUUCAUAUCUUUCAGGAAGAUAUUUCACAUAUAACUGAGCUAUUGAGCCCUCUCUCUGCAUUGUAGACAGCACAUACAGUAUUGCAAACAUAACCUAGCUUUCACAUUCCAGGAGAAAAUUUAGUAAUGAAAUUUUCAGGAAAAAAUUUAUUUUAUGUAUUAUAAUGUAUUCCGAGAACAAGCGAUUUCCUGAGUAAUUCAUUAUAUAAGGAUCAGUCACCCAGAACCAUUUGAAGACAAUUGAUUAUAGAUUUCUGGUAGUAGAAUUGCAAUCUCAAAAUUUUAAAAGUGCCUAUAACACUAAAGUUAUAUAUUAGUCUGAUCAUAUUAAUUAUUUACAUAGUAUUUUAACAACAUAACCCAAAUUCUCAAAUAGUUGCAAAAUGCUUACAUUAUUAAUUUUUAAAGAAUUGUAUGUAUUUAAUGAAAAAUGAGAAUCUAGAAAAAUUGUAUGUAUUUAAUGAAAAAUGAGAAUCUAGAAGAAUUUAGAAAAAAUUUGAGUUACUACAUUUAAUUUAAAGUAAAAUCACAGGUAGGUUAUGCAUCUGAAGCUUCUAUUAGUUGAAUGUGUUGAAUAAUAGUACCAUAAAACCUAUGCAAUUACAAUGCAAACAAUAAAAUAUGAGCACAAGUUUUGUGUUCACUGUUCUAUAGUUAAAAUUAUUGUUAGCCAAAUACAGACAUAGUGGAAGGAAAGGAGUUCACUCUUCCUAAAAUGCAUUCUGCUUGUUUUCUAAAGCUUUUCAUACUUCAUAAUGUCAUAAUUAGAACAGAGGAUUGAUGGCAAAAUGGUCCCAGCUCAACUUUGCCAUUUGUAUACUUCUCCAAAUCAAGUAAAGGUUUCUACAACCUGUAAGUGACAAUGAUUUUUGGUGACAAAUAUAUUAGACAGAGUAGUGGAAAAAAAAAAAGGCAGCAUGAAUUCUAGGGUCAUUUGUUAAGUUUUGAACUUGUUUUUGUAAGUCAGGAGGAAAUACUUAAAUAUUGUUAAAGGCAAGAGGAGUUAUGUUGCACUCUUGCCACUACAGUUUUAAUAUCUGAAUUGGGACAUAUUUCAGAACUACAAAAGAAGAAGGCAGAUGGCUUCUGUUUAAACUGUACAGAUAAUGGGUGGCUUGAUAUGUACAUCUUGAUCAUUCAGGAGCUGGACUUGUAUGAUCAUCUAAACUGAGAAUUUUAUUGGAUUGUAUCAAAACACUUCUACUGUCUGAAUACCAAUCUUCCCUAUCCAGACAAUCAGAGCUCAGGGAAAGGGUGAUGUAUGGGACUCCACCACAAAAUGGAGCUGGAGUGAAGCUGAAGCUCAAAUAUGUAGAGACGCACAAGAUGGUAAGCAGUUCUGGGUCCUUCAGCUAAUGUAUGUACAUUAUGUAUUUAAAUGUGGCAAGUAAAAAAAAAAAAAACAGAUUUCAGUUAUUGAAUCAUUCUCUUAAGGUGAUGAUGAAGAAAUAGGAUGGUCACAUUCCCAUGUUAUCCCAUAUGAAAUGUAUGUUAAGAAACUAGUGCUCUUCCUUGGGUUAUAUGACUCUCUGAUGACCGUGGCAAUUUUAUUUAGGGAGUUCCAACUAGACCUUUGGCUGAGGAAAAAACCUGGAGAAAAAAAGUAUGUCUUCAGAAAAGGACACCUGAUCCAUGAUAGUCAUGCAAUGGAGAUGUACCAUGUACAGUGAUGGAGAACAAUACAAAACCAGAUAUGCUGAUGUUCAUACAAUUCUUGAAGAGGGUUAAGAUGAUUAUCUGUGAAGCCAAGAAGCGACUGUGAGGUUGAGUCAUCAGUGUCAGCUCCUGAACAGAAAGUGUUCCAAGACAGAAUUCACCAGAAAUAUGUUAUGUCAUAUUUACUUGAAAGCAGAUCAGACAGGCUUGUUGCCUUUGAGGGUCAUGAUGAAUCUAUUGACUAGAAAAGGUAUGCACUGAGGACCAUUCUCAGAACUACUGAAGUUGGAAUGGAAAGACAGGUUGAUUAUUUUUGAAUUAUUCUUAUCAUAAGGCUGAAAACCAGAAUAAUAUGAUUAAUACAACUAAUUUGUAUUAAUCAUAAAAUUUUUCAGGGAAACUACAUGUGUGAGAGCAAAAUGGUAAACAGCGCCUACUAUUCCUAAACAACUGUCAUUCACUGAAUCUUUGUGAAGCAGAUUCAGUCGAAAAUGGUACCAAAGCUGUUGGUUGUGCUGGCAUAGUGAAGACUGUUUACAGUUUGCUUUGUAGCAUUCCGAAAAGCCAAGACACCCUGCAGUGUCACACUGGAAAUUCCCUGCAAGGGCUCUCUGGUGCAGGAUAGACAGAUUGUGUUAAUGGUAGCUGAUCCUUCACAGCUUGUUUACCAGGCAUCAACACAAAUUUAGAAAAGAAUUUAGAAAAAUCUAAAAUUAAAAAUGACUAGGACAUGGAAGGAAGUAAAUGAAGCUAUAACACAAUAUUCUUGCGUGUACAGCAUGCUGGUAGCCAUUAACUGAAGGAACUGAAUGAUUCAAGAAAGACUGAUGAUGCAGAAGUGGAAAGUCUACAAAACUUGAUAUGUGAACUGGAAAUCAGAUACAACAGUUCAGUGAGGGUAUUCUGAGUAAUUAUCAACCAAAAAAAAAAUUAAAUAGCCUCUGAUUAACACUAUAGAUGACAGAGAUAUCACAGUUUAUUUAAUUUAUACACUAAUUAGCAGUUUAUUUCAGUCCUUCUUAGAAUGUCAGCCAGCUUUUCAGUUGUUUAUGAAAACAUUUUGGGAUUUUCAAGACUAUGUAUUUAUGGUCUGUAUCAAAAUUUUACUUCUCCAGAGCAAUUUGUAUAUGUUUUCGCUGAGUCAGGAAAUUUUUCUCCUGAAGACAAACAAAGUCAGUUUUGGAGUGUGUUCUCAUAUCUUUGCACAUAGCUAGAUUGUGUGGGAUUUUAAAAAAUAAUUUAUACAGGUAUCUGUUAUUUUUUCAUACAUUGACAGCCACAGCUGCAUCUCCUUACCAUCACUGUGCAAAUUCAUCAUCAAAAGCUCUUACACUUGCAAGUUAGUUCAGGACAGAGUGCAUUAUACUAAUAAAAUAUUUUUUCUCAAGAGUGACAUAAGACUGAAGUAAAAGAUCAAAUAUAGGGCCUAAACAUUUCCUUUUCUCAGGCAGCCAUGGAGACAAAAAUAGUGAUGGUGAUAGUAGAGAACAAAGGCAGAUGGGAUCAACUGGAUUUUAUCAUGCUAAGUUUGAUAUUAUUAGGUGAACUUAGGGGCUGUAAUGUUGAAGCUUUAAGACAAAUGACAGACAGAGAUGGGCCCAAACAUGGUCCUGUCCUCAAAAAUCUACAAAAGAUUGUCAUAAAUAAAAGAGAAGAAGUUGGUUCACAUAGGAAAUAAACCACUUUUGAUGGUUUUUGUUAGUGGGGAGCCAGAAUGUAGAGAAGGAAGGGAAGGGAAGAUUUGGUGCAUAUACAAGAGUAAAAAUGCGUGAGGGGCUCUGCCAUCCCAGAAUCCCAGAAAAGUUUAAGAGCUUGGAAAUAUAAACCAAGACAUUUGUCUAAUUUUUUUGUUGUUGUUGUUCCUUGAAUUAGGAUUCUACAUAUAAAUUCUAAAUAAUUCUUGUUGUUGUUCCUUAAAUUAGGAUUCUAAAUAUAAAUUCUAAAUAAUUUUUGAUUCAUUCCUUUUUUCAAUAAUUUUACUUUUUAACUGGCUUAUUUCAAUACUUUGGUCUUUGGACUAGGUUCAAGUCUUCUGGACAUUUAAUCUGACCUGAGCCUACUUCCAUCUGUGGAGUACUUGAACAUGUCUUGGCCAAUCUGCAUGCACACAACGUACAACCUGUGCAUCUCUGUGUGCACCCAGAUCUGGGGCUGGGAGGUAUCAGGCAUGAUCUUCCUCAUGCAAUGCUUGCAAAUUGCUUUUUCCAUGGCUCACAAUGCUCAUGUGUCAUUUAAAAAACCCAAGUGGCUGAAUUGCUGGUAAUAUUCAGCAGCAGUGGCCCAACUUCCUUCUUGAUUCUGUCUGUAUGUUUUAGUGAUUGCCUGGUUACUUUUCCCAUUUCUACUUUCUUUCCCCAAAACUUCAAAGAUAUGCAAUCUUCCUGCUUUUUGAUUGAGAAAUACAUGACUUAUAUGUCUUUUCAUCCAAUAAGAUGUUGCUGCUAUGAUGACCAAUAGCACCCACAAGCCCACUUGUGUUGCAUUUGGGACACAAAAAUACUUUUACUUGUCUUUUUAAUAUGCAGAUGCAUCUUUGACACGAAUUCAUUCUAAUUAUAGCUUCCUAGUCUUUAUGAUAUUGGCAUUACUCCUAGUUCUUUUGUAAUAAAGAUAUAUCAGAAGAAAACAUACUUGUCCUCCAGGAAACAGAUUUCCGAUUAACUCAGCUAAGGUCUUUCAUUUGGUGAAAAUUUUGACCUGCACACUUUUCAUUCCACUUGAGUAGAGAUAGCUUUAAAGGCACACAAAGAUUCCCCAAGUAGAUGGUGGCAGAUGCAAUUUCCAACUGGCUUUCAAAGAUGUUUUAUACUCUGGAUCCUAUUUAAACAUCAACCAGCAAAUGUUCUGGUGCAAAAUCUGGGGUUCAGUCUUUUCCUCUACCAGUAAAGAUAUUCAUAACAAGUAAGGUAAAGACCCCUGUCCUUUAGCUUUGUCUACUGCCUCAUUCAAAGGCUUCUCUUAAUUAUCUCAGCCAUGACCUGGCUUCCUGCUCGGAAGUCAGAAAACCACAACCUCUCUGCAGGCCCUACUGGUUCUGCACCAAAAUACCGAGAACAGAGAACAGACUGCAGUAAGGACUCAUAGUCCUGUUUGUUAUUAAAUCAUUGCAUACAGUCAUGAGACAUUGUUGCUUUUUUACUUGCCAACUUCCAUGAAUUCUGGUUGCUAUUCUUCAUGACAGGUAGCAGCCCCUUAUGUGUUAUUCUUAAUCUAUAGUCAAAACUCCUGUUUCAUCCCUGAAGCUGUGACUGGGGAAGAGACAUUGUUUUUCAUUGCUGUCAAGGCUUUCUCUGGUGUCUAAGACCCUGGGACACUGCUGGAGAUGGCAACAGAGCCAUACAUUGAAAAAAAGGAAAAGAGAGUUGAAUAGCUCCUUAGUCAUCAUCUAUUCUGUGAGAAAUGUCACAGGUGAUCUUGUAAUUAAAUACUAUGCCAUAGACACAAGGGAACUAAUUGAAAUCUUUGCAGUCAGCUAACUUAGAUCUGUAACUUACCUUACUCUGAAAAACUAUUUUUUUAAUAUAGUUAUAUGUAAUACAUCUUCAGUGAAUGACACAUGCAAUUAAUUUACUAAAUCAUCAUUAAUCCUUUAAAAUGGAUAUACUGAAGAAAAUAAAUAUUUCGUUUAGACUUGGAAAAACUUACCAGCCUUGUUUUAAAAGCCACUAAAGGCUUGUGUUUCGCAGUUAAUAGGUAAGAUGAACAGUCAAUGCCCAUCAGCUUUUCUUGUUUUCUAUUAAAUAGGCUAUGUUUACAUGGAUAAGAAAUGCCAUAGUUAUUGGAUGCUUCUAACUGACUAGCCUAGAGCACUAGAGGAAAUUACUCUGCCUGGAGAUGAGUUAAAGUUUGCUUUGAAGCCUAAUCUAAAUUUCACAACUGAAUAAUCCAUGGAAUUGGUUAAACAAAAUCUCAGUGCAAAAACCUAUUUAUUUAGCUAAUGUUAUUGUGAGGCACAAAGAAAUACAACUUGUGAUCUUUUCCACUUCUAGUUGAUACAAAAGGUCUUGUAUUGUGUGAAAACCCACACUUGAAGUCUUACCAAAUAAUUAAUUAAAAUUAUAAACUUCGUAACAUACAUAUUUAUAAUUGUUUUUUUUAACUGUGCGGUGGUUUCAAUUAUCACUUAAAUUAAAGGACAUUUAAAAAUUUAAUAAUAUAUUCAAAUCUCAGAUAACAGAGAUUUCUGCAGACUACCCAAAUCUGCUAUUUCCGAUCUUCGUAAGUUUGGCUGAAGACUAGUUAGGUUCAUUAUUCACAGCACAUGUAUCUUUAUGAGUCCUCAAUAAUCAGAAAUGCAAUGAUGGCAGAAGCCUGGAACCCAGCCCAUUAAUGAUGGUGAAUAUUCUUUCAGAGAUGAGGUGCUAUUAAUAUGAGAAAAACUAUCAUGGGUUACAACCUGGUUAUAAGAAAUACUUCAAGUCCUUUUGGGCUUAUGUAUAGUGAUUUCCAGAAGAAAUUAUUUAGAUUACAAUAUUUAAUUGUAAUCCAUUUGAUUUUUUGAACCUAAGAGUCUUUUUUUGCAGUGCAUGAAGAUUGCUGUGUUUUAGAGAAUACAGCUCAACAUUUCACAUCAAGGCUAACACCUUUUUUACCUUAAACACAAACCUAAAAUGGUCUCUCAGGGUUUGCUUAGGAAUGAUGACAAAAAGCCAGUAGUUAGGGUAGUGAUUUUCUGCUUGAGGCAGUGCAAGCACUUGUGAGUGAAAUGUUCUAAGGGGACCUUUCCACAACCUGACUCCACUGGUUCACAGGCUCUCACGGGCGCAAGGCCAACUCCACAACAUUUGAUCAUGAGCAUACAGUGCAUGUGGCUGAGGGAAAAAUUCAAAGAGCUCUUUCAGUGAACAUUUGGGUCAGAACUACUAUUACAUAAAUAGGCACCUGCUGCACAGAGCUGUGGCAGUGAGCAUGUAGGCAUAUGCUGCUAUUCCAGCAUCUCUUCUAUGGGAAUCUCUGAUCUGGUCCCAUACCUGGCUGCUUCUAGCAUGUGUCUUCAUGGAAGACACUGCCACUAUUUUAAACUUUACACACAUCUUUCUUCCUCCUAAACAAGUUUAGUCAACAUUUUCUUCCUAGAGCUGGAACAUCUAAUACAAAUUAUAAAGGCAAAGAUCCUGCAAACCCUUUGGUGAAAAUGAUGGCAGCAUUCCAGGUAACUAUUUAAAAAACAGAAAUCUAAUUUAAAACUUCAGACAUUUCUAUUCACACUUGACUCAUUUCUUGUGCUGUGGAUAUGUUCUUGCUACAUUGCAGCUUGUGUUGGUGUUUAUAGCAUACCCUAUCAAGGCGUAUUUUAAUUCUCCAUAAUUCAUGUACAAUUGACAGGUCAUAAUGUGACAUUGAUUAUUUAGUGAAUAGUAUUGAGAAAUAGUUCAACCUCUGUAUUAUUGAUUCGAUCAAAAAUUUUGACUCUUUAUAAUCACAAUGGUCAGUUGAAUCAACAUUCCUAGUGGGAAAAUGCAUGACCAUUAGUAUCCAAAAUAGUCUGCAGAAGAUUUUAAAGUAUUUUACCAUGCAUAUAAAGUAACCAUUAUUCUAAAAUAAUUAACUUGGUCCUGAACCAUUGAACAACAAUCAGAGAUGAAAACCAGACAAACCAAAGGGACAUUUAGCAAAUUAAUGUUUCCUGCUUCUCUUCAGGAUUUAACUCCCUGAAAUCUAGUGCACAUAAAGAAUCUAGCAGAAAAAUCAGUCUGUCCAUGCUCCAUCACUAAGAGAGCAUCUGCCUCAGGGACAUUUCUCAUCUUGGCUACCUCUCUCUGUUGUCUCUUAAUCAUGUCCAGGUGAUGGCAUGAGUAGACUUUAAUUUGGAAUUAGUUUUGCAAGAUGCAGGAUGGCAACAUAUUGUACUUUGCAAUAUAUCUUUUGGCUUGUCACAUCCAUAUGAAAGAGUAACACUUCAGACAAACAUAUCUCUGGAUUUGAAAAUAGAGUUAACAAAUUAAUUACUGCCUGCUCAUCCUUUGAUCAAUUUAGGGGCUGUUUGUUUGGUUUUUUGUUUUGUUUUGUUUUGUUUUGUUUUUCUCCUUGGAUAUCUUCCAUUCAAUGAAGUAGAAAGGGGGGUUUGUAUUUUUCAGUUUUCAUAACAAAGCUCUUAAGCUACUUGAGAUUGAUGCUGCCUAAGAUCUGUGAAGCAGCAGCCUCCCUCUAGAGCUAAGCCUGGAAAAGGGUUUCUGGUUUUCCAGGGCUGAUUUUAUUAUUCAAGCACUGAGGGACUGAGCACUUUGGCCCAUAACCACCAUUGCUGCUCCCACACUUCUUGAAGCCAUUUCUGAUGCCCUCCACACAAGCUCCCAAAGCCUCAGUUUGCUGUAUCCCACCCUUACCAAGUAAACAAGUGUCUCCUACUCAGCUGGCAGAUAGGACUAAAGAUGAAUUCUUUUUAAUCAAGAAUCAGGUUUUCAUGAAAAAAUUAAAAAUCAAAAACCUAUCGGUUAGCAAAGAGGUAACAAAACCUGCUCACCACACAUAAAUAUGGAAACUACCAGAAGCAACCAAAGUUCCCAGAAGGAAAUCUAUUUUAUUAAUUGCCAUCAGGCUAAAUCAAUUUCAUUACACAUAAGCAAGAACUUAGUUCAAAUAUAACAAUAGGAAAGAGAUGUAAAGAAGUAACAAUACAUUUAUUUUAUCUAAGAAAAAAGUAAAUUCAAAUUCAGGAGAAAUCAACAUAUCAUAUAUGCUCAGCUAACCUUUUUCUACUCCAGAACAAUCACCAAUAAGUACAGAAAAACAUCACAUGAUGAAAUACAUUAGUAAAAUUUAUAGCUGGCUUCUUCAGUAAAGUGCAGCUUGACCUUUCACUAACCUUGAAAUUUUGUGAGCAGGAGCAAACAGUCAUUAAACUACGAACAGCUUGCAUAAUAUUUAAGUAGCAAAUAUUCCCAUGAAAAUUAAUUAAACUAUGAGAAUUAUGAAUACAAUCACAUAUUUUUAGUUUUGUCAAAGGUAAGUUGGAUACUGUUUUUCUGACUAUUCACACAGGAGGCAGCAGGAAAAGAAUAGCGACCUCCAUAAUUUACAUUUUCCUAAAGAUUUUAGAAGGAGAGACUAUCUUAGGAGGUUAGAUUUCCGGAGAUGUAUGUGUGUGUACCAGUAUCAAGUUCCUUGUGUGGAUUUAUUUUUGCACCUUGUUAUUUUUGUACCUGUAUGUUGAUCUAGACCUGUGUACAUGCAGUUUUCACAACAGCAUGCCAAGAUACAGAAAUGCUGACUAGCCAUAAGCCCUAGAUGACAUUCAUGCAGCCCAUUGGCAGCAGCACCUUUGGAAAGAGAGUCUGAUGAUUCUGAGGUUCUUGAAAGACUGGCUAGUAAAUACUAAAUCACUGUGUGAUUUGUAGUAAUCUCAUUUAAAUCAAAUAAUAUUACAUCAAUAUAAAACUGCAGUAAUGCACUAGCUAAUUAAGCCCUUUGAACAAUUAAGACAUAUUUAUAGAUCUUCUAACUCAAAGAGAUCAUACCUGGCAGAUCAAUGCUAGUGUUAAAUAAGUUAUUAGCCUCUUCAAAGAUUACACAUAAGGUCAGUGAAUUGUGAUGGUGGAACAUUUUAAUGAGCUGAACACUUGACCUAGGGGAAGAGAACAGACAACAAUUCACUUGGGUGGAGAAGCUCUGCAUGUCUGAAAAGCAUCAAACUGUCUCUCUAGACCUUGAUUUCUCAAUCAGUAAAAUGGACACAAUAAUUCUGCAACACAAAAAAACCCCACUGAAGUUAAGAAAUAGUAUGUGUAGAAAGUUUGUAAUAUUUUUAAAGCACAUAAAAAUGUGUUAUUAAGGUUGCGUUUUGUUCUCACAUGUUCAAAAUAAUUAUGUUACUGCUGAAGUGAAUCUGGCACACUGCCAAAGGUCAAUGAGGAUUUUUUUUCAGGUCCUUCCUGGAGUCUUUAGGGCCUCAAAUCUUACUUUCCCUUCCUACCUCUUUGAUACCCAACAUGACAGUAUUGUUUAUCAUCUAAUGAUAAAACUUUGUGAUAAGAUAUAUGUCCUUUUAGUCAUACAAAAAGCAAAUCAGACUCUGAAAAAAGAAACUGAAAUCUUUGCCAGCCCAGGACAGUAUCAUCAGUGGAAAUGUUUCACUUAUAUUUCAAUAAGUGAAUUCCUGAAUUGGAAUUACCUUCCCCAGUUCAUCGGUUCUAGCAUAUCUGUAAUCUAUCUUCUAAAACUUAUAAGAAAAAAUCUAAUUGCAUUUUCAACCUCGUUAUUGGACCCCUGACUUUAAGUUAUAGAGGUGGAACCAUUCCUCUCUUCACACAUGGUGUGUAACAUCUGUUAGAAGAUGGCAUCAAGCAUGCCUUCUGUAUCGUGGAUUAGGCUUGAUCAGCUCUUUUUGAUUUUCUUAUUUCAAACCCUAGAGCUAUUAUAUUAACAAAAUCUAGCUUUUGUGCUUUCUGUCACUGCCUGAUUUUCCCUACAUUUUCUAUAACAUGGUUUGUUGAGAGAAAAGCUUAGCUAACCAUUCAUACUUGAAUUGAGAAUUCAGCAUGAUUGCCCUGUGAGUGUGUGCCCAGAGGGAAGCAAAAAUAGGGUUGCUGUAUGGAAAGAUGAAGUGAUUGAAUUCAGCGCCUGAGGCCACAAACCUCAUUUUCAUGACUGUUAAUAUGUAGAACUAACUGAACUAGUGCAUGCUUUUAUUCUCGUUCCAUAAAAACUAACAUUAUGUGUUCUACCUGGGAGAUUUAUUUCCACUCUUGCAAAAAAGAAUGUCACUGAUCUAAGCCUACAGUCUGGAACAUGAUCAAAUGGUCUACCGCUACAAGAAGCUACUGAACCAAUAGUUUGAAAUUUUAUCUAAGGUACUUCUCAAUGCCAUGAAUAUCCAUUAAAAGCACAUUGUUCAAACCCUUGAUUUACUAUUUGGGAUCCCAGCACUAAUGGCACAAUGGCUGAAGAUGUUCAUAGAACCAAAGAGUAAUUGUACGUGGUUUCAUCAUGAACAUAGCUCAGAAUUGUGUUCUGCCUUGAUACCAUCACAGUAACUCCUGUUAUGGAUGAACCUCUGUAAGUAUUAGUUUAGAGAUAAGUAUUAUCAGGGCAUUCAAGCAUCAUUGAAUUACACAGAGUUAUCAUUUAUAGAUAUUGCUUGUGCAGUAUUUCUAAUAAGUAAUGUAAACUCCAAGAUCCUGCUAGUGAUAUUUAUCACAUACAGAAAAGUUCAUCACAUGUUGUUUGAUGAUGCAUCAGUGCUUUGUUAAAAGUUCAGUCUACUUCUGACUUUCAAAAUAGGUUGGCCUAUCACAUCAUAACAGUGAUGCCUGGCCAUUUUUCCAGGCUUCAGUAUAUUACUAGUGCCUGACUGCUGGGCUCAAGUUUCUUUAAUGUGUCAGUUUGACAAUGGGCUCUUUACAACACAGUGGGGGGUCUUCAAAGAGACAGUCUCCUAGACACUCCUACAUCAAUAGGUGUCAUCUUCUCAAGUCCUGACUAUAAAACAUGAUAGAUGGCAUGAGCAAUAAUAGAUCAAACAGGCCUGGGCCAUGGCAACAUGUCAAGUGACUUGAACAAGAUACAGCUAAGACUAAAUGUGUGCUCAACAAUACUCAGAAGCUUCUUGUUUUGUCACUUUCUAAGAAUUGUUGGGAAAAAACAGCCUGUAUCUACUCGUCCAAAUGAGCUCAGAACUGGUAGAGCAAAACUUAGCUAUUUGGAUUUGGAUUUGGAAAUGUCAAAGACUGUUGGUUUCAGGGAGAUCAGUUUGUCAUGUCUAGAGGCACAGGAGAGUUGUGAUUCAUUUAGAAUAGGAAACAUUGGCUACUUCUAAAAUAUCUCUUAAGCAUCACCUCAUUAUGACUGAACUCUGCCAAUGGAAAAGAUUAUUUUGCCUUGUUUUGUUUGCCCUUCUGGGUUGCUGCAGUGAUAGGGUAGUCCAGAAGUUAACAAAAGUUAAUUUCUCUACCUCCGGGGAGGUUGCGGACUCACCAUUUCUGGAAGCGUUCAAGAGGUGUUGAGAUGUUGCACUUGGGGAUAUGGUUUAGGGGUGCUAAAGGUGACACUGAGUUGAUGGUUGGACUAAAUGAUCUUGAAGGUCUCUUCCAAACUUGAUUAUUAUUUGGUUAGUGCCUACAAAAGAAGAAAAUGUCAAUGAUAAUCUAGGAUCCUUCAAAGGUUGUCACAAACAGGUUUCUGUAAUGAAACCGGUUUGUGCCAAUGUAUUCCCAGCCUGAUUCUACAAUACUAUUUUAAAAUUUUCCAUCUGUUGUGGAACUACUGGAUUUAUGAACUAGUGGAGAGGUGGUAAUUUUAUAUCAACAAGUAAUCUGAGUCUAUGUCAGUGCAUACAGCAGAUCAUAGGUAGGAAGCACCACUGGAAGAACAGAGUUGUUCUGCAGCAACACAUUUUCAUUUACAAAUACUCAGAUGUAAAACAGAGGAAUUUUUGUACUUUAAAAAAAAAACCUUCAAGAACAACUUAUCAUACUAUUGCUUCUGUUUGCUUCUAUCUGAAAACAAAAACAUAGUUUAUCACAACUAGGAUCUUACCUCAUUGCUCUCAGUAUAAAUCCUCUCAUAUGAUCAUGGUGGCUGUUUUACCAUGUCUUUGGAGAAAUCUUAUUUAGUUUAGCAGCUGAUUUUAAUCUCAAGUAUGAAGUAUGGAUUAAUAAGUGAAUUAUGGAAUGGGAUGAUUGACACAGCAAGAAAUAAGGUAUUAGAAAGCGGUAUUUGAAAGCAUUAUUAAAGAUGCAAUGAGUAAGUGUGAGCAUGAUGAUUAAUAGUGUAAUGUAGCAGAGGAGAAAAGAAUUGUUAACACAGUAAGAAGGGAAAACCUUUACCAGAUUGUCAGCUCAUGAACGUUGCCCAAACCCAAAGGAAAUUACGGAAACUCUGACAGUUUAUGGCAGCCAGAAAUCUAGCCCUAGGAGAAAUAGACAGAAAUUAGGGAAAAAUUAAACUUUAGCUAAAUAUCUGAAUAAGAAUCCUGACAGCAUGAUCCCUUUAACUGAGAAACAGUCUCCAAUGGGAAAUGCUGAAUAUCUGGAAUUAGAUUAGGCAAAGCAUUGAAAAAAUGUACUGUGGGGACAAAUUUGUACUGGAGGGGAGAUGAAUUAGACAGCCAAUAGGUCAUUUUCACACAUUCUGUUAAUUACUUAAAACUGAUUGUAUAAAGAAAAGAAAGAGCUUGGCAGUGUUUUUGCCCAUAUAGUUGUCCACUGGCAAAGUGGACAGAGAAAGUGUUCAGUGGGUGUCAUACCCAGAUGGAAACAUUCCAUUGCUCAGGAUAUGGCAUAUAUCAUAUUCAGCUGGAUGUAAUAUUUAUUAUGAAUAGCUUUUUUCCCCUCCACAUAUAAUGGGAAAUAAUAAGAAUUCAAAGCCAUUCAAUGGGGAUGUUUCUGUGGGUGUCAAUGGGAUUUGAAAGUUGGCCCUGAAAUAGAUUUCUUUUUUUUUUUCUCUAUGAUGGUGUUGUUGUACUGGAGCCAUGUCAGGCAUAAGAAACAGAAGGCAUGCUCAUCUUAAGUUGUAACUGAGAAUGUCCCUUCUUUAAAUUAAAAAGAAAAUUCUGGGCUGUAAAUGAGAAAAAUACAACAUCAGGCUCCAAAAAGCCACUUUCAUUUUCAUAUAAAUAUGUAACCAUCAUUUGUUUAACUCACACCAAGCUAUCAAAUUUUGUGGUGUGCUAUAAACUUGUUGAGUCAUUAGCCUGGCUGCUUAAUGGAGGAAAACUAAAUUUCUGUUCCUGCAUAAUGACACUUAUUCACUGUAGACAUUUGCAUCACUUGGAAACGAUAAAACCUCAUCCUUCAUAAUGAAGUUCUGAGCUGACAAAGAGGAAAAUAUAGUGUUGUGGGACAACUAUGAAUAUAAAACAAGCUUAAUAAAGAAGUAGUGACAAAUUAUAUUAUGCAAAAUGCAAUGCAAUAAAAAAAUGUUACUAACUCAUUGGAAAUGUCAUAAAUAAUCGAAAUAGUUUUUAACUGUCAAAACCUUGAAAAAUAUAUUCCUUAAAAAAAUUAGGUAUGGAAUAGAUGCUAGUUUAAUUGCCACCAUAUUUUGACAAGCAUGGAGAACCUUGUACCCAGUUUAUUUGCUGGGUUUUAGCUCACUUGCCUAAGAUGAAAUUAUGGGGGGAGAAAUACUAUUCUUUUUCACCUCAGCAAUGCCCCAUCAAAAACAAACUACCUCAGCCAUUUUUAAGUAUUGAUGCUUCCAUUUCAGAUCAACAUUUACAAUUUUCAUUACAAUCUCAGGAAAACUGAUCUUUAUAAAGCAAGGAGAAUUUUUAAUGUGGAUGUUCAUUAAAAUAAUGUACUGCUUUCUUAAAAUCAACAUUAGUUUUGAACAAGUAAAUACACUGUCUGCUAUAUCUGUGGGUCAGCAAGUGCAUGAAAUUCCACUAGGACAGCUCCUUGUAAUAUAAAAUCUUUAUCCAGUUUGUGUGUCUAAAUUACUGACUUUUCACUCUUCCAAAAUGUUCAUUUUACAGAAAGGAAAAAGACACUAGCAUUUCAAGAAUUGCUGGAGGCUCAAAUAAUGACUUAGAUUCUAUUUCUGCUGAAGUUUCAUUGAUUCCAAUAGUCCCAGUGACUUGAAUAGAAGCAGCUUUGAGGCUUGCAUAACCAGAAGCUUUUCUAUUCAUGAAAACAUUUGCAAAAUUAACUGCUAGUGUGAUCAGAUCCUCACUUCAAUGGAGAUUUCCCUGCUGACAGAGUCACUUGUUUAAUUAUAUGUAAAAUGUUCAAGAUUCUUGAUACCAGUUACUAUGUAUUCUGGAGUAUGAGGCUGGUAGGGAGAAAUGAUACAUUUAAUGUACGGCUAAGAGAUCUGCUGAAAAUCCCAUUGCCUUGAACAUACAAAAUUUGACAUGUUUAGUUAAUGAUUUUGAUUUAUUUAGCUUUUAUAUGAAUGACAGACAUAAAAAGUUGGAAAUCCUACUGUCUUUUAAAAGCGAGACUUCGUCUCCUGGGGAAAACGUAGUUAAAAUUUUCCCUCUGCUUUUCAGGAAAAAUAGCACUCAUGUCUUCACACAAACACAGAGAAGUUUCAUCCUAGAUCAAGUACAUAUUAAAAAUUUGAGCUAUUUUCAAAGUAUUUUCAAAGGAACAUGGGGAUUUUUACCCUUUGGUUGUUAUUAUAGUGCUUCAUUUCAGAAACACAAAACUCAGAGUAAGCAAGUUUUAACAUGCUUGUGAGCCUAGUGUGACUUUUACCCUUUCACGUUUUGAACUGGCUAUAAAAUAUUUUCCAUUAUGCAAGAGGAUUUGGAGUCACUCCAUUGGCUGUGCUCUCUUUGGUCAUGUCCAAUAACUGAUGUUUCCAAUAAUUCAUUUGAAUUUCCAGCUCUCCUGGACAAAGCACCAGUCAUUGUGAUUAUCUCUAAGGCUUGUAAAUCUUCUCUUAUUUUGAAAGUGCUUCAUUUAGCACAUUUAAGGCACAAAUAAGCAUUUACAAAGCAAAAAUUAAGUGAUUUUGAAGCCUGAAAUAUGACUGCAGAGAUUCCAUCAGAGAAGAAAAAGAUCCAAAUUGGCCACAGUUUGGCUGCUGGCAAAUGAGGAAAACUUUCCUGCCCUGCUGUUUUUGUCUCUUAAUAAUCUGGAGACAAACUGAGUGUUUGUUAGAUUUUUCUAAUUCAUUUUAUAACACUAACUUUCACUUCUGUCUAGGGACUCUCCAUCCAUCCAAUGCCAAAGAAGCAAACUACUCCAAUCUGAUAAGAACUAUGCUAGAGAACAGGAGGAUUAAUUGCAUUUUUCCCAGAUAAUAUUCCUUUGACCUUUUGUGGAGGCCAUAAUCAGCUCAGUCUGCAGACACACUCCAUGGCCAAAUGGAGUGGCCACAUGACAGUAUUUAGAUGGCUGUAAAAUCAUCUUUCAUAGUUGCUGCCCAGUCAAAGAUCUAUCAUAAAACUUGAAAUGAGAAAAAAAGCUUGAAGAUACUUCCCAAAAUGCAAAAUGAAGGGGAAGGAGAUUAGCCACACCAAACUACCCUGUAAUUUACUAGACACGCAGGACAAGACUUGCUUGGUCUAAGUCAAAAGCUUGAGACUGGUUGCCUGCAUACACGAAAGACUUCUGUCAUUGUUUGCAGGUCUCAGUUUUUACUCUUGCUUUUUCAUGCUGUAUAAUUCACUGGUGGAAGGAGCAACAGAUUGAGAGUGAUAAGCCUUUUAGUAGAGCUCAGACAUUGCAGGUUAGAGCUGAUUCAGCAGAUAGUUUCAGUACAGGUUCCUCACUGGCCCUCAAAAACUUUUCCUUACUCAGUUCUGAUUGUCUUCCCACAAAGAGAUUUUAAUCUGUUGAAUAGAUAUUUUUGGCAGAAAUAAAUUAACUUUUAUAGAUGCUAGAAGCGGCAGAUACAAAAACAUAUUUAGGAAAAGGCCUGGUUGACUUUUGCUUAACUCACUCUGCUCUUGCCUCUGCUACAGUGGUCUCCCAGUCUGGCUUAUUUCAGGACUUCAGGAUCAGUGAAGCACAGUUGUUGACGUUGAUACCAAGCUUCUUGUGCCAGAACUUUCAGUAUGUUUUUACAAUUUUUAUUUCCUGCUUUUUGUGCAUCAUAGAGGUUAUUGAUUAGAGACUGAAAAAUUGGGGGUUCUCCUCAUAGCUGGGAAUAUUUUGUGCUCAUGGGUUUUGCGGGAUCUGUCUCAAAUUUCCUUCUCAAUCCUGAAGUUGCAUUCGAUCCCUUCAUGAUGGAAACAAGAGUAAGAACAUUAGUAUGAGUGCCAGACUUUCUCAAUAUUCAGCAAGAAAUUAAUUUUUGGAAACCAGUCAUCUGAAGAGGUCUUCUUUUUGCCUGCAUGAACCUCUAUGUCAUAUUAAUAUUACAUCAUUAUAUUAUAUAACUUGUUUGUGUUUCAGUCAUCUGGAAAGGCCUGUGGUGUUGUUCCUCUAUCCCAGAGCGACAGAAGUACAAACUGUACCAACUGUACUGGCAAGAAGGUAUUAUUUUUGUGUUUUUAGGAACGCUCUGGACUUCAGCCCUUACAUCUGCUGAUCGUCCUUAUCUCCCAUUUAAUUUUGUAAUUUACCAUCUCUUUACAGAAUGUUUAACCUAUAUAAAGACACAGAUUUUAUGGCAGCAUUUGACAUGUCAGUCAUUUUUGUUUCCCUCUGCUUUUCUCUCAGUCUAAAAUCUAUUUGAUUCGUCUUUUCUCUGUAUAGUGAAUAUUUUUUCACAAAUAUUAAGAAAAAUUAACCUACUAUAAAGACUAAUUUCUGAAUAAAUCCUGCUGUGGGAAGGAACUUACAAUCAUUUGGGCUUUACUUGGUGAUAGCCAUCAGUUUGGUUGUAAGAGCACUCUCUCAGUGUACAACACCAAUUCAAGGUUGUUUUUCUUUGAAUAAGCACUGAAGUAGAUUUCACUGGCUUCUAUGCAUUGCUUCUACCCUUCAGUUAUGAUUAGAAAGACAGUAGUAAUUUACUCAUCUGUGACUACUAUUCAAGCAACCAGAUUAUCUUGACUUCCCUCUGGAUCAAUGUACAUAAUGGUUCUUCUCUCUGUGCUUCUGGACUACAGUUCUCUUGCCCACAUGUCACACUAAAACAGUAAACCCACAACAUGUCUUUGGCUCCAUUUCAUCCAGCCAAAGGAAGUUACCUAAAGAAAACCCAAGGCUUGUUAAGCUUGUUAUUCCAUGUCCUCAAAUAAUGAAUUAGGAUAAGAAAAUAAAUAAUGAGGAAACAUCUCUGCACGUACACACUGUAGUACUUCUCCCUGGCCUGAUAAGUAGCCUUUGCUUAGCUCAAGCAUCCUUAAGUCUGUUGUUGAGUGAGAGAAGACUGAAGAACCUCCUUCAUUUAGAGCUUGCAUUUUCAGGAGCUGUGGAUAAUACACUUGGGCUGUUCUCAUAAGACUGGCACAGCUUGAGCCUACCCUCCAUUGGUAUUAGGCUGAUGAACGUCAUGGGAUUAAGUGUAUAAAAUGUAGAUGUGAAGUGCACAUGUAAGGCUUCAAUGAGAAAUACACACACACUCCUUUAGGAUAAGCUUGCAUAAACAAUGCCUUCACAUGCUUAUGGAACCAGAUGAUGCCAAAAAAGAAGCCAAAAACCUGACUUACAUUUCAUUUAAAGGAAAAAGAAGGAAAAGAAAAGCAGAAAUGAUACUUUCUUCCUUUUUCCUCACACUAUAUGCCAAUGGAUCCUAUCAUCCCUCCAUGUCUUAGUGCAAUCUGUCAUAGUAUGUUCUGGUAUUAUUGCUAAUUUUUAUGCACUGUACAGGUGAUGUUUUACUAUUUCUGUUCAAAUUCGUAACUUUAGACGUAACCUGUGAAAUGUAGAAUAGCGAGGUUAGUCAGCGUGUUACAAUUCAGGUGCUACAGUAUUUGCAAAAGAAUAUGCAAUCAAAGAACAUCAACAAAACAUAAUUGACAUCACCCAUUGCAUCUCAUUGAAUCAAGAAUUAUCUUCUGAUUGAUGCACACUGAUAUGCAAUCACUUGUAAUUGAUUAGAAUUCACGCAGUAUAGAAUGACACGUUGAGUAAUUGCUACUGAGAAAUAAUGACUGGUUAAAGCAAAGAGGAUGAGCUUCAGCCAGGCCAUAUAUCUGGGAUUUGUCUACUUCAAAAAUUUAUGAACAUCUUAGUUUGCAGCUUAUUGUUUCUGUGUACUGGACUUCCAAAGUUGUAUUCUAGCCUUGCUUUCAGAAUUCAUUACAUAGAAGUUUAUUAUAUCUUGAGGUUAGUAAAUGAAAAAAGCUAGAUGAAAUGUUCUAAAUGCCUUGAAUCUUGAAAAGAUAUGCACAGAGAGCAUAAAAUAUUAAUGCAUGUCCUUAGAAAAACCCUUUUUGUGUGUUCAAAAUGAAUAAGGCAGGAUUUUCUAAUAGGUAGAGUAUAAUUAACACAAUCAUUUUAUUCUUGGUUUUAAGAGAAAAAUAAUAAUUCACUGAAAUCAAUGAGUUUACUCUUUCCUAAUGCAAUGUUUUGAAUCAGCUGCAGUUUCAUAAAAAGUUUGAGAGAGCUAGAUACUGUAGAUAAGCAAUACAGGGCCAAACCUUUUGUUAGUGUCUCUGGUGAAUUAAUUUUCUCUUCAUUUGAAUUAUAAUAGUCAAAUCUCAAAAUCUCAACAGGUUUCAGACAACAUAUGGCAAGUUACUGCACCAAAAGAUAGAAAUUUAAUUUGUUUUUACUUCAUUUUGCAUAAUAUGACAUAUAUACUAUCAUAUUUACUUAAUUAUUUUUUACCAUAAUCAAUUUGUAGCAAAUUUCCAUUUAAGAUACCCUUAUUAUAUGUGUACAAGGCAAUUUUGCCUCAACAUCUCACAGAAUUUUACUGCAUUUUUCUAAUGCAUGUUUAGCCCACACAACAUAAAUAAAUCCAAUACUCUCUUGCACAGAGUACUAAUAUAUUCAGCACCCUAUAAUAAUCUAAAUAAGCAUAAAAAUUUCCACAAGAGAGAGUUCCUUUUUUUUUUUUUUAAUUAAAAAAAAGCUUUUAGAAAUAAUACCUGACCAAAUGGUAAAAAUCCCACAAUUUUUAUACUAAAUAUCUCUGCAUGGACUCUGUUUCAAGUGCCUCACCUUCUAUGUUCUGAGUUUAAAGAUUAGAGAGAGAGCUGUUUGCCCAAAAUACACAAUUUCCUGACCAGAAACCCCUGACAAAUUCACAAAUAGCUUGUCUUUUUGUCAUGUUCCCCAUUGAAAGGCCAGCAUUCUCCUUUUUUGUGUACUGGCAAAGAACAUUCAGAAUCUAAAAAUCUCUCAAGUUUCUAUGAAAAUGUCAGCAGAAAAAUUACACUCUUCUGAAGUUGGAGACAAUACAGGGGCCGAGAUCAAGAGAUAAUACCGAGAAAGAGAUCAGGCUGUGUUGCAGUUGAAUUCUGAAUAGGUUUGGCACAUGUGAACCACUUUAAAUUCUUGCCUGAAAACAGACAGCUUGAAUGGACCAGAAGAGGAAUGUGAAGCUGAAUGCCCAGACAACAUAAUUCACUUCUUUGACUAUCUCCUUUUUCCCCCUGUAGAGAUGAGUUUGAUGUGGAUUGAGACAGAAAACAAAGGGCUAAAUGAAUCAGUUCUGCCCCAAAAAGCAAAAUUCCAAGGUUUCUAGGAAAGGGAUUCAUUUCCUACAUGUAGGACAAGGGUGGCUGGUGCACCAGGGAACAAAGAGGAGGGGCAGGGGGCCCACAGAAGUCACCUCUGGAAGGUGCUUUUGAGGAGGUUCUUUAGUCCUUUGAAGGCUGGUGCAAGAAAACAGCUUGCUCUUAGCUGCUCUUAACUAAGUUAUGGACUAUCCAGCAGGACUGAAAUGCAUUUUAUUGCAGUCUAACAAUUUUUUACCCUCUUUGUACCAAGAGAAAUUCUUCAAAGAGCUGGAAGAUAUUUUAACUGAUAUUUUUUUCUCUAUUUCUUACACUUAUGGGUUCUGUGGUUUUUUAUUACCAGUGAUUGGAUGUCUGGCAUGUGCUAAAAGGAGUUUUCUGUUUCCUAACAACACAUUCAGAUAUUUUUGGCUACGUCUGUAAUUUCGAGUCAACUUACUUGUGCAAAUUUUUUAUCCAUAGCUUCAGGCUUUUGUUUUUAAACUGAAGGGUUAAUGCUACUUGCUUUGAAAACUUGUGGAAAGUCUCCAGGAUAAAGUAGUGGAGUCUUAUAUUGUGAUAUAUAAUGUCAUGUGGAAAACUGGAAUCAUGGUGAUACCAGGCCUCAGUAAUUUGCAAAAA